CACGUAGGGCGCAAGCGUUGUCCGGAAUUAUUGGGCGUAAAGAGCUCGUAGGCGGUGUGUCGCGUCGGCCGUGAAAACUUGCAGCUUAACUGUGGGCGUGCGGUCGAUACGGGCAUCACUGGAGUUCGGCAGGGGAGACUGGGAUUCCUGGUGUAGCGGUGAAAUGCGCAGAUAUCAGGAGGAACACCGGUGGCGAAGGCGGGUCUCUGGGCCGAUAUUGACGCUGAGGCGCGAAAGCGUGGGGAGCAAACAGG
rnacentral:rRNA from 1 species